rnacentral:lncRNA from 1 species
CAAGCUGCAAACACUGUGCAAGUGACGGCCUACGCCAAGGUCGACGCCGUCCAUGUCGAUGCGGUGAAGCAGCGGCCGGGCGUCCCCGUGCUGGUGCGCGUCGUCGCGCCACCGCCGGCGGCGGCGUCAUCGGAGCGCGCCCCGAUUGACCUCGUCGCGGUGCUCGACGUCAGCUGCUGCGGCGGGCUGGGGCCGGUGAACCGGAUGGAUCUCCUCAAGAAGGCCAUGGGCUUCGUCAUCGACAAGCUCGGCGAGCAUGACCGCCUCGCCGUCGUCCCCGUCCAGGCCUCCGCCGCCAUCGCCGAGAAGCACGAUCUCGUGGAGAUGAACGCUGAGGGACGGAAGGAGGCCACUAGGAUGGUGCAGUCGUCGUUGACGAAAAGACCGGGGUUCAUCGUCCUCAUCUCCGACGGCGACGACGCCUCCGUCCUCAACGAUGCCAUGAACCUCAACUGCUCCGUCCACGCCUUCGGCUUCCGCGACGCCCACAACGCAAGGGCCAUGCACCGCAUCGCCAACACCUCGGCCGGCACCUACGGCAUCCUCAACGACGGCCACGACGGGCUCGCCGACGCCUUCGUCACCAGCGUCGGCAACAUCACCUCCAUCGUCGCCGUCGACGCGGAGGUCAGCGUCUCCUGCAGCGGCGCGGAGUCGACGGCGGCGAAGCUGACGGCCAUCGAGUCCGGCAGGUUCAAGCACGACAUCAAUGGUGGCGGAAAGCGCGGCACCAUCCAGGCCGGCGCCCUCCAGGCCGGCGCGGUGAGGAGCUUCCUCGUCUACGUGGACAACGUCGGCGACGACGAGCUCGAACACCUGCCGAGCAUGCUCACCGUCGGCGUGCAGUACGAGGACCGUUCGACGACGACGUCGCAGAACGCGGCGGAGAACCAGGCCGGGCGAGAGAUGGCACGGCGAACCGCCCAGGUCGUCGUCGUCAGGGACGGCGACGAGCACUCGAGGUUGGUGGCGGCGGAGAUCGUCCGCGUCGCGGCGAUGAGGAUCGUCGGCGAGAUCAUCAAAAAUUACGGCGACAACGGGAGGGCGCUCGCCGGCGCCGCCGACGAGCUGCACAAGCAGUGGAGCCUCCUGAAGAAGUCGGAGUUCGCCAAGGAGGCCGCCCCGGCGUGCUUCGUCUCCGCGCUCGACGCGGAGAUGUCGGAGAUGGAGGCCACCCUGCGCCGGAGCUCCGGCAUGUCGUACAUGCUGUCGUGGCAGACCUGCCACUCCCUGCAGCACCUGCAGCACGCGCGUUCGUCGUCGUCGCCGUCGGCGACGACGUCGGUGGCGGCGGCGGCGAAGGGGAACGGCGGCGCGUCGGCUGUGGCGGCGGCAGCGCGGCAGAGCUUCACGGCGGGAGGGGCGGCGGCGAUGGGCAAGUUCGUGUGGUCCGGAGCUCAUCACGGCGGCGGCGGCGGCGGCGGCGAGAGGAAGCGCAAGUACCAGAGCUCGGAGAUGGAGAUGAUCGAGCAGCGGCUGGCGUACUGGACCAAGGUGAAGUGCGAGCUGCCGCCGAUGCAUCACGACGGCGAGUGCCCCGACCACAUGACCACCAUCUUCCGCGAUGCCUCCCGCGACUCCAUCGACCGCGCCAUGCCGUCGUGCAUGCGACCGGCCGGAGGAGCUCCAAUGUCACUUAUCAUCUCUUCUGAAUUAGUUCCAACUCUUCUGUUUGCACUUGAUUUGCAAAUUCAACUAGGUCCAACAAUGUACAUUAAUCUGGCUCCAGUGUCAGCUCUGGCGAGUGACAAGGUACAGCUGAGCACUUUCCCGAGGGUGGACGCGAUCCCCCGUCGGGAAUGCCACCCGCGUCUCCCGGUGCUGGUGCGCGUCGCCGUGCCGGCGACGGCGGCGCGCCGUGCACCGGUUGACCUCGUCACCCUGCUCGACAUCAGCUGCGGCGGCGGCGGCGGCGCGCCGGCGAGGAGGCUGGACCUGCUGAGGAAGGCGAUGGACCUCGUCAUUGGAAACCUCGGCGCCGACGACCGCCUCGCCAUCGUGCCGUUCCACUCCUCCGUCGUCGACGCCACCGGCCUUCUCGAGAUGUCCGUCGAGGGACGGGGCGUCGCGAGCCGGAAGGUGCAGUCGCUGGCCGUCGCCGGCGGCACCAAGCUGUUCCCGGCGUUGAACGCGGCCGUCGAGAUCCUGGAGGCGCGGUGCUGGGAGGCGAAGCGCGAACGCGUCGGCGCCGUCGUCCUCAUCUCCGACGGCGACGACCGCACCAUCUUCCGCGAGGCCAUCAACCCCAGGUACCCCGUCCACGCCUUCGGCUUCCGCGGCGCGCACGACGCGAGGGCCGUGCACCACGUCGCCGACCACACCUCCGGCGUGUACGGCGUCCUCGACGACGAGCACGACAGGGUCACCGACGCGUUCGCGGCGUGCGUCCGCCGCGUCACCUCCGUCGUCGCCGUCGACGCGCAGGUCGACCUCACCUGCGGCGCCUACUCCAGGGCGUCGCUCCUGGCCGUCGAGAGGAGCGGGGACCACAGGGCCCACGUCGACGAGGACCGGAGGUCCGGGUUCAUCUACGCCGGCGCGCUCUGCGCCGGCGACGUCAAGAACUUCCUCGUGUACGUCGACGUCGACCGGGAGGCCGACGGCGGCGGCGUCACCGAGCUGCUCACCGCGCACGGCACGUACAUGGACGCGGCGAGGAGGAAGGAGACGACCGUGCACCUGGACGAGCGGAUGGCCGUGGUGCAGAGGCGCGACAAGGUCCCCGACGUGUCCCGCGACGUCGCGGCGGAGCUGGUCCGCGUCGACACGGUCAAGAUGGUCGCCGUCGUGCUCGACAGGUUCAAGGACAAGGGGAGCGCCGCCGCCGCCAUGGAGCUCCGUGAGGGGUGGUGCCGCGUCAAGGCCUCCGAGGACGCGCGUGCCGCCGGCGCGGCGAGCCUCGCCGUCCUCGAGAGGGAGAUCGAGGAGAUGGAGGCCAGCCUGGUCCGGUGCACCGGGCUGUCCACCAUGCUCUCCUGGCUCAAUCGCCACAAGCUUCAGCUGCACACCGCCGCCGCCGCCGCCGCGACGGCGAGGGUUUCCCCGGCGCCACCGUCGUCGUCCAACGUGGUGGCGGACGCUAUCACAGCCGGCGAGGGGCACGUGAAGGAGGUUGCUGGCGUCGCCGUCGUCUCCGGCGGUACGAAGCGCAAGUGCGUGGAGAUGGACAUGAUCGAGGAGAGGCUUGCCUACUGGUCCAAGGUGAAGCACGACCUGCCGCUCAUGUUCCCGGACCACGCGGCGGCAGCGGCGACGGCGGCGGCGGCGGCGGCGGCGGAGGGUACGGCGAGCACCGGCGACCACGUGGCGGCGGUGUUCCGCGACGCCUCGUUGGAGACCAUCAACCGCGCCAUGUUCCACGACGUCUACUUGGUACGUGCUGACUCGUUUCGUUGCCCCUUAUAA